CACGAAUUCAUGACUGAAUCUCUCUCUACAUUUCUACCUAAUUAAUUCCCACUACUUUCUCCACAUCUCUCUCAACAUUUCUCCCAGAAAUUUUUUUGAUAGAUCUGACAUAUGCAAAAUUGAACAAAAAUGGCAACAGGAGGACCGGAUCCAUUGUUUGGAUUAAAGAACAGUUUUCUACUUGGGUGCAUACCAGGCAACCAUCAAUAACAGCAACAUCCCCCGUCUUUCCACAGAAGACGCCAUUGAGAGGGACUCACUCGUUUUCAGAUCGUAUAUUGCCCUCGGCAGUUAUCAUGUUGUCAUGAAGUGGUGGCGGCUCUGUUGAAGAAGGGCUCUCUUGUGGGCGGCGGUAAUGGUAACAGUGAUGAUGGUCGUGGGGUGAAAUGGGGUUGAAUGCAUGUGACCAAUUUUUUGAUAGAUUGUAACUAAUAAUAGGUCAAUUUG